GCCGGGGUGGCGAAACUGGUAGACGCGGCAGACUCAAAAUCUGUUGAUGGAAACAUCGUGUGGGUUCAAGUCCCUCUCCCGGUACAA
rnacentral:tRNA from 1 species